rnacentral:rRNA from 1 species
UAAAGACCGUGCGAAGGUAGCGUAAUCACUUGUUCUUUAAAUGAGGACUAGUAUGAAUGGCACCACGAAGGUUAUACUGUCUCCUCUCUCUAAUCAGUGAAACUAAUCUCCCCGUGAAGAAGCGGGGAUAACUUUAUAAGACGAGAAGACCCUAUGGAGCUUUAAACUAAGAGUCAACUGCCUUUUACCGCUCCAAACUCCAGAGUACUAACUUAUAUCAAAGCUCUCUGAUUUCUAGUUUUAGGUUGGGGUGACCACGGAGUAAAGACCAACCUCCGCAAUGAACAGGGAUCUUCCCUUAACCGAGGACUACAACCCCAAGAAUCAAUACAUUGACAUUAAUUGACCCAAGAACUUGAUCAAUGAACCAAGUUACCCUAGGGAUAACAGCGCAAUCCACUUCAAGAGCCCAUAUCGACAAGUGGGUUUACGACCUCGAUGUUGGAUCAGGCUAU